ensembl:lncRNA
CAUCCCAGGAAGGAUCCUUAAAUAACCUCUUGCAUGCUGGAGGGGCACGCCAGAAUCCUGGAGGAAUGGCUCCCUGGACAUCUAUGAAAAAAUGGAGCCCAGUCAUGGCAGGAAUGGUUGUGUCAGAUAGUUCCUGCACCACCAGAUCCCCCUUCUAUCCCUUUUGCUGUCAUGAGGACAAUAAAUUGUGAGGUCGAGGUUGACACGAGACCGGAAGCAUCGAGCCGCAAGCAGCCAGGCCAGGGAAGGAACCAGAGCUUCAGGUACUACACGUGAUCUUAGCCAAAAGGCCGAGAAGCAAUGGAACCGGAGCUUCAGCAGCAACCCGAGGCAACACCAGCAGACCCUGAAUCCGCUGCACCACAGCAGGAACUCUCCUAACAUCUCCAAGGCUGAAAAAGACUCAAGUUAAUUUCUCCCUCACUCUGUGAGGCCCACGCAGGUCCCCACCCCUCGUGUCUCAUUCUGAGGCUCUGCCUGGAGGGUCAGCGGCCGCCUGGGGCAUUUUCUUCCUACAGCAAUGGCAAAGGCUCUGGAGGCAAACUCAGCUCAUACUUCAAGCCUCUGCUCUGCUGCAUCUGCUAACCUCGCCUUGGUGAAGGUCUACACCCAUGGGAUAUGGAAGUUCCUGGGCUAGAGACAGAAUUGGAGCUACAGCGGCCGGCCUACACCACAGCCACAGCAAUGCAGGAGCUGAGCUUCGUCUAUGACCUACACCACAGCUCAUGGCAACACUGAAUCCUUAACUCACUGAGCGAGGCCACGGAUUGAACAUGCAUCCUCAUGGAAGCUAGUCUGAUCUGUUUCUGCUGUGCCAUGACAGGGACUCCUCGUGCUCACAUCUUGAGGGACUUCACCGAUGAGCUGAGAGAAGGAGCCCUGAGAAGAAGCCAGAGGUCUUCAUCUUGAAAUACCGUCUGCAAACAGCCACAACAACAAGGUACCAAGUCGCACUGGAAAUCCCUUUGAAACAUCCAGAGACUGAGCGCUUGCCCGCAGCACCUGGAUGCAGGGCCUGACCCGUCACUCGCUUCAGGUGCGUUCACACAGAGCACCCCUCAAGCCACCUCAGGUUUGAACCUGCUUUUUAACAUAUGCGGAACGAAAGAGAACGGAUGUGUCCAGCUCUGACUGAAUCACUCUGUCGUACAGCAGCAAUGAUCACAACCUUGUAAGUCAAUGAAACCUCAAUAAAACUUAAAAAAUAAGAUAGGCGGACUGGAAUAGCUCCAGUGCCAUUCACAUCUACUGAUAAAGCAAGUGCCAUUCUGAUUAGACCCACAUCCAAUUUCGUCUCUUGGACUAUAGUAAUGAAACAAGAUGUAUUUUCACAGGAUGUUUCAGUAUGUCUUCAGUCCUAAUUAUCCACUUUCAAUUAAAAAACAAAAAGCCUCAGCACUG